rnacentral:ncRNA from 1 species
ACGAUAAAGGCAAACCCAUCGCGAGGUGGGGGCGCAAAGCUAGGGGUCUUCCCCCGGGGAAGACAGCCCGGCCGCCGA